CAUGCAAGUCGAACGAGAAGCUCCCUUCGGGGAGUGGAGAGUGGCGCACGGGUGAGUAACACGUGAGCAACCUGCCGGGAAGCCCGGGAUAGCCCUCCGAAAGGAGGAUUAAUACCGGAUGUGGCCACCCUGCGAUUGCGGGGGAAGCUAAAGGAUUUAUUCACUUCCCGAGGGGCUCGCGGCCCAUCAGCUUGUUGGUGAGGGUAACGGCCCACCAAGGCGACAACGGGUAGCUGGUCUGAGAGGAUGGUCAGCCACACUGGAACUGAGACACGGUCCAGACACCUACGGGUGGCAGCAGUCGAGAAUCAUUCGCAAUGGGGGAAACCCUGACGAUGCGACGCCGCGUGGAGGAUGAAGGCCUUAGGGUUGUAAACUCCUGUCAAGAGGGAAUAAGCAAGUGAAGGUACCUCUAGAGGAAGGGGCGGCUAAUUCCGUGCCAGCAGCCGCGGUAACACGGAAGCCCCGAGCGUUGUUCGGAUUCAUUGGGCGUAAAGGGUGCGUAGGCGGCGCGGAAAGUCCGGCGUGAAAGGCAGGGGCUCAACCUCUGGACUGCGUUGGAUACUUCCGUGCUUGAGGACUGGAGGGGAGACUGGAAUUCACGGUGUAGCAGUGAAAUGCGUAGAUAUCGUGAGGAAGACCGGUGGCGAAGGCGAGUCUCUGGACAGAUCCUGACGCUGAGGCACGAAGGCUGGGGGAGCGAACAGGAUUAGAUACCCUGGUAGUCCCAGCAGUAAACGAUGUGAGCUUGAUGUGGGGGGAUUCGACCCCUUCCGUGUCGAAGCUAACGCGAUAAGCUCACCGCCUGAGGAGUACGGCCGCAAGGCUAAAACUCAAAGAAAUUGACGGGGACCCGCACAAGCGGUGGAGUAUGUGGCUUAAUUCGAUGCAACGCGAAGAACCUUACCUGGCCUUGACAUGCAUUGUGUCGUCGGUGAAAGCCGGCUAGUCCUGGAAACAGGACGCUUUGCACAGGUGCUGCAUGGCUGUCGUCAGCUCGUGUCGUGAGAUGUUGGGUUAAGUCCCGCAACGAGCGCAACC
rnacentral:rRNA from 1 species